rnacentral:lncRNA from 1 species
AGUCACUGCACUGGAGCACCUACGGCUCUCUACUUUGCUUUGCUAUGCUUUGUUUUGUUUUUUGAUUUCUCCAAUUCAAAAACAUCACCCAGCCGUCUUUCUUAGUUUCUACACAAUCCUGUGGUUAGGGCUUUCUCUCUUUGUGCUGAAGAAUGAUCUCCCAAACAAAGUGAUUCUGUGCAACCUUAACACCAAGGCCCCUCGCCUGCAGCUGGAGGCAGCUCUCUGCUCAGCCUACAGUGCAGAAUGACACAGGCAGGCGACAUCAUCACUGAGCACCAACUUCUCUUACAUGGAGGCGGAGGGUGAAAUCCAUUCAGAACCGUGGCAAGGCGUGAGAGAGGCAAAGGCUUUCUUUGAGGUGCCAAGUCACCUGUGGUUGUUGAUUCACACUGGAGCACACCACAAGAAAAAGGUCAGAGAACAUGUUGACUUCACAGGAACUGGACUUGACAGGAUUUCUUUGGAAUCAGUAAUUCCGCUGUGGGACUCCCAAAACUCCUGA